AGUAUGUCUGUGAACGAAGUGUAUACAGUACCCUCAGAGGCCAGAGGAGGGUACCUGGUUCCCUGAAACUAGAGAUGUGAGCUGCUUUGUGGGUGCUAAAAAUCCAUCCCAGGUCCUUGGGAUGAGCAGUCAGUGCUCUUAACCACUGAGCAUCUCUCCAGCCUAUGUGUACUUUUGUUGUUGUUGUUUGUUGUUUGUAUUUUGUUUUUCAAGACAGGGUUUCUCUGUGUAGCCCUGGCUGUCCUAGAACUCACUCAGUAGACCAGGCAGGCGAAUCUCUGAGUUUGAGGCUAACUAUGUUCUUACGUGGUAAGACCCUGUCACCGAAAGAGAGAGAGAAAAGACCAUAAAAAGUGUUAAAAAUUGGCCAGGAGACUGCAUGGUAUUAGCCAGACUGACAAAUACCCAACAAACAGGAAAACUAUUACCAUCUAUGAUUCUGUGGCUGAGUUAGACAUUACUAGUGGAUCCCAGCACUGUGUCCUGCUAACCCAAGUGAUGUUUCAGGAUCUUUCUCCAGAGAGCCACAGGAUCCCUGUGUAAGAGUCCUGACUGUUCUGGAACUCACGCUGUAGACCAGGCUGGCCUCAAACUCACAGAGAUCCAUCUGCCUCUGCUUCCCAAGUGCUGGUAUCAAAGACAUGCGUCACCACUGCCCAAGAAAUAACGUCUUUAGCUGUUUCUGGUUAGUAGUUAAAAGUCAGAAUGUAAAAGUCAGAAUGUCAUGUGCCAGGCAGUGGUGGCACAUGCCUUUAAUCCCAGCACUCAGGAGACAGAGGC
rnacentral:lncRNA from 1 species